rnacentral:misc_RNA from 1 species
GAUGAAGAACGUAGCGAAAUGCGAUACGUAAUGUGAAUUGCAGAAUUCAGUGAAUCAUCGAAUCUUUGAACGCAUAUUGCGCUCUCUGGUAUUCCGGAGAGCAUGCUUGUUUGAGUAUCAGUAAACACCUCAACUUCCAUAUCUUUUUUUGAAAUGGGAGUUGGACUUGAGUGAUCCCAACGCUUUUCCUCACCGAAAAGUGGCGGGUUACUUGAAAUGCAGGUGCAGCUGGACUUUUCUCUGAGCUUUAAGCAUAUCUAUUUAGUCUGCCUAAAAAACAGAUUAUUACCUUUGCUGCAGCUAACAUAAAGGAGAUUAGUUCUUGUGCUGACUGAUGCAGGAUUCACAAAGACAGCUUCGGCCGACUUUGUAAACUCGAUCUCAAAUCAAGUAAGACUACCCGCUGAACUUAAGCAUAUCAAUAAGCGGAGGA